AGUGGCGUACGGGUGAGUAACACGUGGAACAUAUACCUCUUGGUGGGGAAUAACCCUGGGAAACCGGGGCUAAUACCGCAUAAGCCUGAAAAGGGAAAACAGUAAUGUGCCGAGAGAGGAGUCCGCGGCCGAUUAGCUAGUUGGUAGGGUAAAGGCCUACCAAGGCAAUGAUCGGUAGCCGGCCUGAGAGGGCACACGGCCACACUGGCACUGAAACACGGGCCAGACUCCUACGGGAGGCAGCAGUGGGGAAUCUUGCACAAUGGAGGAAACUCUGAUGCAGCGACGCCGCGUGAGCGAUGAAGCCCUUCGGGGUGUAAAGCUCUUUCGACAGGAACGAUAAUGACGGUACCUGAAAAAGAAGCUGCGGCUAACUACGUGCC
rnacentral:rRNA from 1 species